GACGAACGCUGGCGGCGUGCUUAACACAUGCAAGUCGAACUUUAAGGCCCUGCUUUUGUGGGGUGCUCGAGUGGCGAACGGGUGAGUAACACGUGAGUAACCUGCCCUUGACUUUGGGAUAACUUCAGGAAACUGGGGCUAAUACCGGAUAGGAGCUCCUGCUGCAUGGUGGGGGUUGGAAAGUUUCGGCGGUUGGGGAUGGACUCGCGGCUUAUCAGCUUGUUGGUGGGGUAGUGGCUUACCAAGGCUUUGACGGGUAGCCGGCCUGAGAGGGUGACCGGCCACAUUGGGACUGAGAUACGGCCCAGACUCCUACGGGAGGCAGCAGUGGGGAAUAUUGCACAAUGGGCGGAAGCCUGAUGCAGCAACGCCGCGUGCGGGAUGACGGCCUUCGGGUUGUAAACCGCUUUCGCCUGUGACGAAGCGUGAGUGACGGUAAUGGGUAAAGAAGCACCGGCUAACUACGUGCCAGCAGCCGCGGUGAUACGUAGGGUGCGAGCGUUGUCCGGAUUUAUUGGGCGUAAAGGGCUCGUAGGUGGUUGAUCGCGUCGGAAGUGUAAUCUUGGGGCUUAACCCUGAGCGUGCUUUCGAUACGGGUUGACUUGAGGAAGGUAGGGGAGAAUGGAAUUCCUGGUGGAGCGGUGGAAUGCGCAGAUAUCAGGAGGAACACCAGUGGCGAAGGCGGUUCUCUGGGCCUUUCCUGACCCUGACGAGCGAAAGCGUGGGGAGCGAACAGGCUUAGAUACCCUGGUAGUCCACGCUGUAAACGGUGGGUACUAGGUGUGGGGUCCAUUCCACGGGUUCCGUGCCGUAGCUAACGCUUUAAGUACCCCGCCUGGGGAGUACGGCCGCAAGGCUAAAACUCAAAGGAAUUGACGGGGCCCCGCACAAGCGGCGGAGCAUGCGGAUUAAUUCGAUGCAACGCGUAGAACCUUACCUGGGUUUGACAUGGAUCGGGAGUGCUCAGAGAUGGGUGUGCCUCUUUUGGGGUCGGUUCACAGGUGGUGCAUGGCUGUCGUCAGCUCGUGUCGUGAGAUGUUGGGUUAAGUCCCGCAACGAGCGCAACCCUUGUUCACUGUUGCCAGCACGUUAUGGUGGGGACUCAGUGGAGACCGCCGGGGUCAACUCGGAGGAAGGUGGGGAUGACGUCAAGUCAUCAUGCCCCUUAUGUCCAGGGCUUCACGCAUGCUACAAUGGCUGGUACAGAGAGUGGCGAGCCUGUGAGGGUGAGCGAAUCUCGGAAAGCCGGUCUCAGUUCGGAUUGGGGUCUGCAACUCGACCUCAUGAAGUCGGAGUCGCUAGUAAUCGCAGAUCAGCAACGCUGCGGUGAAUACGUUCCCGGGGCUUGUACACACCGCCCGUCAAGUCAUGAAAGUUGGUAACACCCGAAGCCGAAAGCCUAACCGUUGUGGGGGAGCCGUCGAAG
rnacentral:rRNA from 1 species